rnacentral:rRNA from 1 species
UACGUAGGGGGCAAGCGUUGUCCGGAAUCAUUGGGCGUAAAGCGCGUGUAGGCGGCCAGAUAAGUCCGUUCUGAAAGCCCGGGGCUCAACCCCGGGAGGCGGAUGGAUACUGUUUGGCUCGAGUCCGGAAGAGGAGAAUGGAAUUCCCGGUGUAGCGGUGAAAUGCGCAGAUAUCGGGAAGAACACCCGUGGCGAAGGCGGUUCUCUGGGACGGUACUGACGCUGAGACGCGAAAGCGUGGGGAGCGAACAGG